UCUAAAACAUACCACAGAUGCGGACAACAUCAAAAAGGAUGCAGCACAACGUGGAACUUUCCCUUAGCAGCGAACUGGACAUAGUCCAAAGAGGAGUGAAAAACUUUUAGGACGCGAGCAGAGGGAGCGACUUCCACCACAAUCAAACCACACUCCUAUCAUAAGGCAUGUGGAUUUUUCUUUGGCUUUUGUCGGCUUUUAGUUUCUCAUUUGGAAUUUCGGUCUGCCGAAAGUAAGUCUGGCAGCGGAACCGUUAAAUUCCGAUUACCUGUUCGGUCCGUCCCAGUUCGAUUCAAAACCGGUUCGGUAUCGGUUAGUCCUGGUAUAGACCGGUUUGGUCCAGUUCCCGGACAGGUAACGGGACGGAAACCGAGAUUUACCGGUCCCUCCCGAUUCCAAAAAUUACCGGUCCGGUUCGGUUAAUUUUUUAUUUUAUUUUUUUAAAUCUAUCUGUUUAUAACCGUUGGGUAACGGCUAGUGGGCUCCCCCAACGGCUAUUUGAUCCAAAUUUCAUCCAAUUACGCUCCCACCCCAUUCCAAACUUUUUUAAUACCCUAAAGUUUUAAAAAUUACACUUUAACCCAUUUUUUUACUUAUAAAUACCCCUAAAUUUCAUUCUUUUAAACCACAAAAUCAUCUAUUCAUCUUCUACUCUCUCAAUUCUCUACUCUCUAAUCUCUAAUUCUCUAAUAUAUAAUAAUCUUAAAUUCCGGUGUUGCCUUAUUUGGUCUUUGAAAAUUUGAUUUGAAGCUUCAAAAUUCAACUUUCAACUUUUCACGUUCGGCUUUCGGCGGUCAUAAACGUCUACUUUUUUAAGUAGACGUUCGAACCUACUGAAGAUAUUCUAGCAUGCUGGAGAAAUCGCGGCAAAGGAUUUCCAAAACUACAACCGAUGGCUCGAGAAUAUAUUAGCAAUGCAAGCGUCGUCAGUAGCUUCGGAAGGCGUCUUUAGUGCAGCAAGGUUUCAACUUGGAGAACAUAGACAUUCAUUAGCAGCCGACAGCUUGGAUAUAUCGGUAUUAUUUUGAGCUUGGAUUAAUGCCGAGAGAAGAAAUUUGAGUCGUGAACCACCACCGACCAAAUUUCAAGAUGACGUUGAUGAAGUAAUGUUGGAUUAUAGUGACGACGAGAUUGAAGUAAUGGAAAA